rnacentral:rRNA from 2 species
UACAGAGGGUGCAAGCGUUGCUCGGAAUUAUUGGGCGUAAAGGGUAGGUAGGUGGUCUCAUUUGUCGGGGGUGAAAGCCUUGGGCUUAACCCAAGAAGUGCCUUCGAAACGGUGAGACUGGAGUCCUGGAGAGGGUCGUGGAAUUCCCGGUGUAGCGGUGAAAUGCGUAGAGAUCGGGAGGAACACCAGAGGCGAAGGCGGCGACCUGGACAGGUACUGACACUCAACUACGAAAGCGUGGGGAGCAAACAGG